UUGAAGGCAGCAUGAAGCAUUUCAGCGGUGUUCAUCUUAUUCCCACCGGGCACAAGCUUUCCCAGCUCUUGAGUCUUCUCAGUUAUCUUCCUCCUCCUUUCUCUCGCUGCAAUGCUUUGCACUGAUACGCUCUUAGCAUUAAUCCUCUUCGAACUCUCCACAGAGUUUCCAUCCAAGUUUUUCUGAUGAAUGCUUUGAUGUUCAGGCACGGGACAAGAAUUUAGAGCAACCCCGUCAGAGAAAGCAGGCACAAAAUCCGAGCAGCAGUGACCUUCAAUGAGUUUCUGGCGUUUGGGGCAUGGAUAGGAGCUGAAGUUUUCAUAUGGGAUGAUUUCGU
rnacentral:lncRNA from 1 species